UUAUUAUUAAAGAUCUUUGAUUAUUUGUGUUGAAGGUGGUCUGACUGACUACUACCAUUAUUCUACUCUUUACAUUUCAUGGACGCUAUUGUCAUCAAAGUGACUAUUAAUAACCACGUUGCAUCGGGCUGAGCUUAAGAGAACGUAUUGCUAUUUUUGUCACGUAGGAGGCAUCAGAAAUAGCAUCACAUCCGAGUCGUCGGACCGCGAUGUUUCACUGUGAAUACAGAUCGAGAUCUGAGAGCCUCUUUUGAUCGAAGGAUGAUACCCUGCACCAGAGGGCAGACAACUUUAUUACAAGAUUUACAACAAAGAGAUUGGAUUACAUCCAUUAAUGCGUGUGGCAGCGGCCCCCAGAGUGACAAAGGAGAUCGCAGCUUAUUUCCCGUAUCACUGGUGCAUGACGAAAUCCAACAUGACAGUGGUCAGCCCAGCUCCCUGCACACUCACACCAAGUCCUGUUUCCACAGCGACGACAACAAAUGAUGCUGCAACACAGUGGGAGCUCCGGCGAGAUCUGGACUCUUUGGUUUUCAUUUUUUGGAGCUUUAGAAUGAAAAGACGGAUGAAGGCACGCUAAGGAAAUCAUGAACUUUACUGACCCGCUCACCGAUCUCUGUCUGGUCGCCCUGUGGGAGGAUGUCGAUGUCCGGCUGAAGGGAGCAGGCUUCAAUGACAGCAUCGUACCUGGUAGGCGGAGAGCGAAUACAAAUGAGCUCUAAUACUAAUGCUGAUACCAGCCAGAAGGACAUGGGCCUGCUCAAUAUUAACCUCGAGACAGGAAAUCAAUUUGAAAGAUUCAUUAACUUCGCUAGAAUAGAAAAAUCAGCCUCUGUGGUGGGACUUCAAAGUGUCGAAGUGAGCAGCCACUGCUUCAACGGACACGGAGAGACCGGGAAUAAUCCACGGCUGCUUCAGUCCUUCGUUCAGAUUUAAGUGAAUCGCUCGCUGUUCUUUCCAAUGUCUCGGCAUCUCCGUAUCAUCCAUCUGGAUCGGCGCACAAGGUCUUGAAAUUGUAGUUGACAGGAAGCCGACCCUCGGUUGUUCAAGAAAGCUUGACAGCUGUUAUUGCUGGAUCUUUGAGAACAUUUCGAGCUAAAAAAUACAGAGUCACGGGCCAGAAUACGUUGAUUAAUAUGAAUGAAUGAGAUGUUUCCUCAUCAGCUGUAUAAAAGGAUAUUGUAAGACAGAAUUUAAGUCAAAACUUUGCACUGUAAAAGGACAAGUUAGCUGUAAAAUACCAUGUUAAGACUGCGGGCCAGACUGGCAGCUCUGUACUGACAGGAUGACAAUGUUGCUGGUGUCUAGAAACAGCUGAGUUGAAAUUGUUUGCAUGCUAAAAAAUUGGACAAUUAAGCUUUUUCACUAAAGAAUAUUAAAAAAACUGACCCAAGCUAUAAACAUGGUUACAUAUAUAUUAUAUUUAUAUAGGUACCUCCCAAGCGGGAUGAAAUAGCAGGUGAACACUGGUUUAAUUCAUGAGAUGUGAUAUCUGUUCCAUUUCGUUUAGCAGAGUUUUCCAGUGAGCCGUUAAUGGCAGCAACUCUGUUUGACCUGGAACAAAAACUACUAGUAUUAUUGGUAAAGAAAAACGAUGUGUGUAGAGAAAGAAAAGGGCGGUCGGGUAAACGGCUCCACAAUAACAAACCAAAGCGCUCCAUUAGAUUUGUUUUAUGAAAACAGUCCAUUAGAACCAAGCAACUGACCUUCCAGAGAGGCCAUUUGUUGAGAGGAGGAAAAUUGUGAGCGUGGUUAAUGUGAGUGUGAGUCAUUAAAAGAGAAUGUGUGUGUGUUUUCGAUUGUGCUCACGCAUGUGAAAAACAGCAUAUGUCGUUGAACCAGGAGUGAGUGAAACUAGGAAAACUCUAUUCAACCAAAAGACAAGUUCACCCAAGACAAAUCCUGUUGUCUCAAGAGUCAAAACUGCUUAUUUGUGAAGGCACACUUUGUUGAGCGCGUUGACUUAAUCACGCAUCACACACGUCCAAUUCAACGUCGUGGCCUCGGGGAGCGGGAAGGUUAUUGGAUGUAUUUUGUCUCGACGGCUGGCGCUGACAUAACAUUAAUUACUGUGUUAACAACUCUGAAUGUCAAAGUAGUUGACUGCAGCACAUCCACAAGCAUUUCGUACUAAAACUAUUCAACAGGUUUGAAAAAGCUGUAGGACAAAUCGACAAACUGCUACACUUUUCCGCUCAAAUAAAAAUGUUUACUCCUCGUUUGCACUUAAUCACACUCAUUUGUGUGUAAUUAACAGAAAUCAUAUUUGUAUUUAACAGGGAACUGGAUGUAAUAUUGUAACUGUGAUGUAUUGGGAAUAGCAGGGACACUCCACACUAGCAGGGGGGUGCGAGGAAAUCGUAUAUAGUAGAUGUAUGCAUGAAGAAAUAAACUUGUGUAGAACGGUAACUAAA